rnacentral:rRNA from 1 species
AUUGAACGCUGGCGGCAUGCCUUACACAUGCAAGUCGAACGGUAACAGGUCUUCGGAUGCUGACGAGUGGCGAACGGGUGAGUAAUACAUCGGAACGUGCCCGAUCGUGGGGGAUAACGCAGCGAAAGCUGUGCUAAUACCGCAUACGAUCUACGGAUGAAAGCGGGGGAUCGCAAGACCUCGCGCGGACGGAGCGGCCGAUGGCAGAUUAGGUAGUUGGUGGGAUAAAAGCUUACCAAGCCGACGAUCUGUAGCUGGUCUGAGAGGACGACCAGCCACACUGGGACUGAGACACGGCCCAGACUCCUACGGGAGGCAGCAGUGGGGAAUUUUGGACAAUGGGGGAAACCCUGAUCCAGCCAUGCCGCGUGCAGGAUGAAGGCCUCGGUUGUAAGCUCUUCGUCCGGACGAAUACGUAUGGUUAAUACCUCGUGCGGAUGACGGUACCGGCAUAGAAGCACCGCUACUACGUGCCAGCAGCCGC